rnacentral:rRNA from 1 species
GAUGAACGCUGGCGGCGUGCCUAAUACAUGCAAGUCGAGCGAACGGACGAGAAGCUUGCUUCUCUGAUGUUAGCGGCGGACGGGUGAGUAACACGUGGAUAACCUACCUAUAAGACUGGGAUAACUUCGGGAAACCGGAGCUAAUACCGGAUAAUAUUUUGAACCGCAUGGUUCAAAAGUGAAAGACGGUCUUGCUGUCACUUAUAGAUGGAUCCGCGCUGCAUUAGCUAGUUGGUAAGGUAACGGCUUACCAAGGCAACGAUGCAUAGCCGACCUGAGAGGGUGAUCGGCCACACUGGAACUGAGACACGGUCCAGACUCCUACGGGAGGCAGCAGUAGGGAAUCUUCCGCAAUGGGCGAAAGCCUGACGGAGCAAUGCCGCGUGAGUGAUGAAGGUCUUCGGAUCGUAAAACUCUGUUAUUAGGGAAGAACAUAUGUGUAAGUAACUGUGCACAUCUUGACGGUACCUAAUCAGAAAGCCACGGCUAACUACGUGCCAGCAGCCGCGGUAAUACGUAGGUGGCAAGCGUUAUCCGGAAUUAUUGGGCGUAAAGCGCGCGUAGGCGGUUUUUUAAGUCUGAUGUGAAAGCCCACGGCUCAACCGUGGAGGGUCAUUGGAAACUGGAAAACUUGAGUGCAGAAGAGGAAAGUGGAAUUCCAUGUGUAGCGGUGAAAUGCGCAGAGAUAUGGAGGAACACCAGUGGCGAAGGCGACUUUCUGGUCUGUAACUGACGCUGAUGUGCGAAAGCGUGGGGAUCAAACAGGAUUAGAUACCCCGGUAGUCACGCCGUAAACGAUGAGUGCUAAGUGUUAGGGGGUUUCCGCCCCUUAGUGCUGCAGCUAACGCAUUAAGCACUCCGCCUGGGGAGUACGACCGCAAGGUUGAAACUCAAAGGAAUUGACGGGGACCCGCACAAGCGGUGGAGCAUGUGGUUUAAUUCGAAGCAACGCGAAGAACCUUACCAAAUCUUGACAUCCUUUGACAACUCUAGAGAUAGAGCCUUCCCCUUCGGGGGACAAAGUGACAGGUGGUGCAUGGUUGUCGUCAGCUCGUGUCGUGAGAUGUUGGGUUAAGUCCCGCAACGAGCGCAACCCUUAAGCUUAGUUGCCAUCAUUAAGUUGGGCACUCUAAGUUGACUGCCGGUGACAAACCGGAGGAAGGUGGGGAUGACGUCAAAUCAUCAUGCCCCUUAUGAUUUGGGCUACACACGUGCUACAAUGGACAAUACAAAGGGCAGCGAAACCGCGAGGUCAAGCAAAUCCCAUAAAGUUGUUCUCAGUUCGGAUUGUAGUCUGCAACUCGACUACAUGAAGCUGGAAUCGCUAGUAAUCGUAGAUCAGCAUGCUACGGUGAAUACGUUCCCGGGUCU